GGGGAUAUAGCUCAGUUGGUAGAGUGCUUGCCUCAAAUGCACAAGGCCUUGGGUUCAAAUCCCAGCACCACCC
rnacentral:tRNA from 1 species